UACGUAGGGUGCGAGCGUUAAUCGGAAUUACUGGGCGUAAAGCGUGCGCAGGCGGUUAUGUAAGACAGGUGUGAAAUCCCCGGGCUUAACCUGGGAACUGCAUUUGUGACUGCAAGGCUUGAGUGCGGCAGAGGGGGAUGGAAUUCCGCGUGUAGCAGUGAAAUGCGUAGAUAUGCGGAGGAACACCGAUGGCGAAGGCAAUCCCCUGGGCCUGCACUGACGCUCAUGCACGAAAGCGUGGGGAGCGAACAGG
rnacentral:rRNA from 1 species